CUACUUUUAAAAACUAAGUCUUUUAUACCAGUAUGUGAUUCACAAUUCACUUCUUGUCAUUUGGGGAAAAUAGCUUAAUAAUGGAUAAAUAAAUCUUUUUACCAUAGGUGCAGUGUAACUGAGCCCAGCUCCUGACUGCACUUGUCAGCGUGCCACCAAGGCCUCAGGGAAGUGAGGCCUCCCUGGGUCCAGCCUGUCCCAGGGAAUCUACCCUCGCAGAAACGGCAUGGAAUACGAAGGACCAUGUGAAACUCUCCCGCGGACCUGGGCGGGCGUGGGUGUGGGAAAAACGCCAGAACGGGGCGCACAGAACCGGGGCGCGGGGUCCAGAGGGCCAGACCACCACAGUCGGACACGGAUGGACGCUGGAGCUCCUUGGUUCGCAGGCUUAUUUUGUCAUUAAAAAAAAAAGUCAAUUUGGUUUUAAGCAGCUGUCACUUACAGACAAAAUAAUGGAAUAGUUAAUAAUAACUUAAGUUAAUAACACAUUUUUACGUUUGUGUGAAUGCCUCAUAUAAGCAAGGGAGGAAAUUUUCCAUUUGAUUUUUUUUUUUUUUUGAGUUGAGCAUCAUAGGAAGUCUCUCAGCAAACUGCAGCCGCCUCUUAAUGAGUGAAUGUACCCGGAUGAUAGAUACUUAAACAUCUUUUCAAAUAUUUUAAAUGUCAGCUUCAUGUUAGAAGUUUUGAAGUUUGUAAAUAAAGGUUUUGGUUUUUUUUAAACCAAAUAAAGCAUCGUGCUCUUUCAUGCUACAUUUUUCCUUUUGGAAAUUCCUUUUCUGCUUUCCUUUUUGGGGAUCUUGAA
rnacentral:lncRNA from 1 species